rnacentral:rRNA from 1 species
UUGACUGCAGCCGGCCGCAAUACAUAGUGAUCGAUCUAGUCUUCACACAUGCAAACGCACGUCAGCAAUGUCAUGUCGACGGGUGAUAACACGUAGGAUCUAUCCCAGGAUGCGGACUACAGCGGGAGACUGUUGCUCAUACCGCAUGAUACCUGAGGGUCACAGGCGCAAGUAGCCUUGGGAGGAUCUCGCUUCUGAUUAGCUUGUUGAUGAGGUAAAGGCUCACCAAGAUGAUGAUCAGUAGAUGCUAUGAGAGGAUGAUCAGCCACAUUGGGAGUGAGACACGCCCCUAACUCAUACGUGGAGUCAGCAGUGGGUGAAUAUUGGACAAUGGGCGAAAGCCUGAUCCAGCAAUGCCGAUUGUGUGAAGAAGGUGUUCGGAUUAUAAAGCACUUAUGCCAGGGACGAUGAUGACGGUACCUGCAGAAUAAGACCCCGGCUAACUUCGAG